rnacentral:rRNA from 1 species
UACGUAGGUGACCAGCGUUGUCCGGAUUUACUGGGCGUAAAGAGCGCGCAGGCGGUCGUUCAAGUCGAGUGUGAAAGCCCCCGGCUCAACUGGGCGGGGUCAGCGGAUACGGCAGAGCUUGAGCAAGCUAGGGGGCAAUGGAAUUCCCGGUGUAGUGGUGGAAUGCGUAGAUAUCGGGAGGAACACCAGUGGCGAAGGCGACUUCCUGGACCAAUACUGACACUCAGGUGCGAAAGCGUGGGGAGCAAACAGG